AAAGAGACAUUGCAGAGGAAGUGGUUCACUACAUCCUAAAGUAUCCUUCUAAUGAAAAUUCAUGAGAGUUCUUUUUCUGACUUAGGAACAAGAAAGUCAUCUGUUCCUGAAGGAUGCCUAAUAUCUGGUAAAUUGUUGUUUCUGGGUAUGUCCAUGAAGAUGUCCCUGGAAGAGACUAGCAUUUGAAUCAGCAGACUGAUGAAGACCAUCCUAAACAAUGCAGGUGGGCAUUAUCCAAUCGUUGA
rnacentral:lncRNA from 1 species